UACGUAGGGUGCAAGCGUUGUCCGGAAUUAUUGGGCGUAAAGAGCUCGUAGGCGGUCUGUCGCGUCGGAUGUGAAAACCCAGGGCUCAACCCUGGGCCUGCAUUCGAUACGGGCAGACUAGAAUUCGGUAGGGGAGACUGGAAUUCCUGGUGUAGCGGUGAAAUGCGCAGAUAUCAGGAGGAACACCGGUGGCGAAGGCGGGUCUCUGGGCCGAAACUGACGCUGAGGAGCGAAAGCGUGGGGAGCGAACGGG
rnacentral:rRNA from 1 species